rnacentral:rRNA from 1 species
CCUACGGGUGGCAGCAGUGGGGAAUAUUGCGCAAUGGGCGAAAGCCUGACGCAGCGACGCCGCGUGAGGGAUGACGGUCUUCGGAUCGUAAACCUCUGUCAGCAGGGAAGAACGGUCACUUUGCUAAUCAGCAGUGCAUUGACGGUACCUGCAAAGGCAGCACCGUCUAACGCCGUUCCAGCAGGCGCGGUAGUACGGAGGGUGCGCGCGUUGACCGGAAUUGCUGGGCGUAAAGGGCGCGUAGGCGGUAGGUGAAGUCAAGGGUGAAAUCCCCGGGCUCAACGUGGGGACUGCCGUUGAAACUGGAAAACUGGAGGGUGUGAGAGGAGAGUGGAAUUCCAGGGGUAGGGGUGAAAUCCGUAGAUAUCAGGAGGAACAUCAGUGGCGAAGGCGACUAGCUGGAACGUAACUGACGCUGAGGCGCGAAAGCGUGGGUAGCAAACAGGAUUAGAUACCCGAGUAGUC